GUGAAAAAUCACUCUGAGGAAUUUGCGUCGGAAAAAAAAAAUAUGGCGACCGUCUCAGCAUUUUCCGUUUGUAGAGCCAAAUCUCAUUCUCGAAUUCCCCAUUCUUCAUCUAAUGCAAUUCCCCAGCUUUUCCCAAUGCAAUUUCUUCGGUGUCAAAGCAACAGGAGCAUUGGCGGUGGUUAUUCUUGCUCUUCAAGUUCGGUGAAAGCGAAGGUACCUUUGAGAACUACCAGGAUAUGUUCUGCAACUGAGGAAGAUGGUGCUACUGCUGUUGCCGAAGAAGAAUCUGCUGCUCCCACUACAUCUGAUCAAACUGUUUCUGUUUCCGUCUCCCCUUCCGACGUUCUAACUAUGUUCUUUCAGGCAGAAGGAACAAUGAAUGAAGCUGCUAUUCCUUCCGUGACUAACGCUUUAGAGGAUAUUGAAGGCAUUACAGGUCUCAAAAUUCAAGUUGUCGAGGGCAUUGCAAGUGUCGAGUUAACAAAGCAAACGACAAUACAAGCUACAGGGGUGGCUUCAAGUUUGGUUGAAACAAUACAAGGUUCAGGCUUCAAGUUGCAAACAUUGAAUCUGAGCUUUCAGGAUGAAGAAGAUAUUAGCUAAGUGGUGGCUUGUAGAAUUCAGAGACAUGAUAGGCUGAUAUCUUUCACGGGCAUCCUGAGAGAUCUCUGUUUAUUUGUAUGCCAGUAGUUUCAGUAAGCCUAUAUCUGUAACAUUUUUGUGUUAUGCAGUUCUUUGAUCUUUUUCUUCCUUAGCAUAUGUUCCUUUCCGCAACUUAUAAAAAUACUUGUGAAUUACUAAUGAUCAG
rnacentral:misc_RNA from 1 species